CUGGAACUUCUGGGACAGAAGCAGUGAUUUCAGGAAUGUACCUAGAAAUGGACCCAUUUUAUUGGACCAAUCUGGAUUCAUCAGCCUAGGAGAAUAAUGAAGAUAUGAAGACCCACAUUCUCAAGAUGCGAUUGUCUGCUAUUUUCCUACUUGGACUUGUCUUCGCUCCAAAAGAGAAACACUACUUCCAUUUGAGAACACAGUGAGACAAGCAAAGAAUUGAAACGUGAUGGACCAUUGGAACUUUUCUUCUUUUGCUGAUUUUGGAAACCUGCUGGAUAACAAAGACUGGCCCAGUUUACCCCUUCACCUCAGCUGACAGCCAGCCAGCCCUCGGAGCUGUGACACCUACUUGACUGCAUCUGCUUGAGUAAGUCUGGUCAUAAUCAGCAAACUAUCCAUUCAGCUGAAUCCAGCUCAACCUGCUGACCUGAGCCAUCAACCAUGUUGUUUUAAGCUGGUAAAUCUGGGGAGACUUGUUACUAAGAAUUUGGAAUUAAAAAACCUGAUUCUAUGAAGUUUUGGCUGUGUGACUCAGCAUCUGAAAACCUUAGCUCUUCCUCCUUAAAGUUAGGACAAUA
rnacentral:lncRNA from 1 species